rnacentral:rRNA from 1 species
UACGAAGGGGGCGAGCGUUGUUCGGAAUUACUGGGCGUAAAGGGCGCGUAGGCGGCCGAUCAAGUCAGAUGUGAAAGUCCUGGGCUUAACCUGGGGACUGCAUUUGAUACUGAUUGGCUUGAAUUCGGGAGAGGAUAGCGGAAUUCCCAGUGUAGAGGUGAAAUUCGUAGAUAUUGGGAAGAACACCAGUGGCGAAGGCGGCUCACUGGCCCGGUACUGACGCUGAGGUGCGAAAGCGUGGGGAGCAAACAGG